AUUGAACGCUGGCGGCAGGCCUAACACAUGCUAGUCGAGCGGAUGAAGGGAGCUUGCUCCUGGAUUCAGCGGCGGACGGGUGAGUAAUGCCUAGGAAUCUGCCUGGUAGUGGGGGAUAACGUCCGGAAACGGGCGCUAAUACCGCAUACGUCCUGAGGGAGAAAGUGGGGGAUCUUCGGACCUCACGCUAUCAGAUGAGCCUAGGUCGGAUUAGCUAGUUGGUGGGGUAAAGGCCUACCAAGGCGACGAUCCGUAACUGGUCUGAGAGGAUGAUCAGUCACACUGGAACUGAGACACGGUCCAGACUCCUACGGGAGGCAGCAGUGGGGAAUAUUGUACAAUGCGCGAAAGCCUGAUCCAGCCGAGGCGCUUGUGAUAAGAAGUUCUUCCGAUGGUAAAGCACUUUAGGUUGGGACGAAGGGCAGUAAGUUUAUACCUUGCUGCAUGGACGUUACCUUCAGAAUAAGCAACGGCUAACUUCGUG
rnacentral:rRNA from 1 species